UUCGGGGGGUGGACAGCGGCGAAAGGGAGAGUAAUGUGUGGAUACCUGCCCUUGGGUCCGGGAUAGCCGUGGGAAACUGCGGGUAAUACCGGAUAACAUCUCCGGAUCAAAGGUGUGAUUCCGCCUGGGGAUGGGUCCACAUCCUAUUAGCUUGUUGGUGGGGUAAAGGCCUACCAAGGCAACGAUGGGUACCGGGUGUGAGAGCAUGGCCCGGCUCACUGGGACUGAGACACUGCCCAGACACCUACGGGUGGCUGCAGUCGAGAAUCUUCGGCAAUGGGCGAAAGCCUGACCGAGCGACGCCGCGUGCGGGAUGAAGGCCUUCGGGUUGUAAACCGCUGUCAGAGGGGAUGAAAUGCCGGAGGGCUAUCCCUCCGGUUUGACAAAUCCUCAGAGGAAGGACGGGCUAAGUUCGUG
rnacentral:rRNA from 1 species